AUGGACUCCCCUACUGCACUGAGACGGACCCAGACCCCCUACCGAAAGGGCUAUGUACUGUUCUUUAUAUCAAGCGAUAGCUUUCAAGUGCCCGACCCCAAUCUGGAUAAUCUUCCCUUGAUCAAUGACUGGGAAAACCCCUCCUCUAUGA